rnacentral:misc_RNA from 1 species
GGGCGCCCGAAAAUAUUACACACUCUCUGUCUCUCUCUGGAGUCCAAUCUCUUCUUUUAACAAGAUAACCUUACAAAGAUGGAGACAGAAGAUCCGUUUGCUCCAGUGGCAGCGCUCUGCCACAUCUCUUCCUCUCAAGAAGAACACUUGCGUCGUUGCCGGUUCGCAGGUGAACCGGAGGAUGAACCCUUUUUCAGUGGCGAGUCCAGCGACAUCCCCGUUGCCUCCACUGAAAUCAUGAUUGUUUCUCCACCGGAAUCUCCUGAGGAGAAUCAAGAUGACGAUAAUAUCCCCCGCGAUAACGACGUUUUCAUUACGCCCCCCGAAGAGUCCACUCUGGCAGCAUCCCAGGAGGAGCAACAGCAAACGGUCGCGGUCGAUAAUCGAGACAAUCCGGCGGACGAGGGAGUAGCAAACAAUGAGAAAAUUGCGGCCGUGGAUGGUAAUUGUGCGGAUGAUUUGAGAGCAGUUGAUUUGGGAAGGGAUACGGAUCUAGGGUUUUCCGCAGGAGUGGAAUUGACGGAUAGGAUUGCAAUCGAUUCAGGUUCGCUUUCAUCUCCUGUUGUUGAUCGAGCUCAUGAGGAUGAUGUAAUUGGCUGCGAAUCCUUGAACACUUGGAUUAUGGAUAGAGAAUUAGCUUCAAGUGAUGAUUUACGCGAGUCUCUAUUCAUAACACCAAAAACUGCGGAUAAAAAUGUGGGUUCGUUGACUACAGAACUUUGUCUUGGCUCUGAAACAGAGAAAACCUUAGCGAGAGUAGAUAAAUCUGUUGAGAAAUUGAAGUCUUCGUCAAAAAAAUCAAAAAAUUUGGAUGAAAAUUUGGUGUUGGAGACUUCAAAAAAUACUUUAGACACAGAAACGGAGAAUUUGGGGGAAAUUGUUGAUAGUUCAGGGUCAGAGGGCUUUAGUCCAAGCAAGUGCCUAAAGUCACUGCGAAAUCAUCAAAUUGAAGAAUUCGAAGGUGGUGAUAGGGAAUUUCAUGGAGAUAAUUCUGCAAAGAGAAAGCUGGAUUUUAAUACUGAGGCACUAGAAUCUAAUUUUGAAGAAAAUAUUGCUGCUCUAGAGAUUAGUGAAGGUAGAAUAGAAGGUGGAAAUGAAGAGAUUGAAGAUGAUGAAGCUAAUAGACCGUGCAUCAUUAGUGAGAGGUUCUCAGAUGCAAAAUUUCCAGAAAAGCAGAAUGAUAUUAAAGCUAAGAACAUUGAUGAUAUUGACAAGUUGGGUCAUGUUGGUCCCAUGGGUGCACAUCCUCCAGAAAAGAAGAGAAAUGUUAGAGCACAACGAGUAUUGCCUAAGUCAUUAUGUGGAAACAUUGGCAAUGUAAGAGGAGAACCGGUGCCUGAUGAUGUUCUGUGCUCAAGGAACUUUAAGAAGGUCACAAUAUUGGAUGUGCUAAAAAUGGUCUCGCAGGACUAUAAUUACGAUCCUAGUGUACUAAAUGGUAGUGUCAUGGGGGCUGCGAAGAGGCGGGGGAUGACUUUUCCUUAGGCCUUGUUGGCACUUAGCAGCCAGAAGAGGGAAACAGAGUGGGAGAUGAUGAUGAGAGAGAGUAGGUUUCAAGUGGAUACUGGUCUUUUAGGGGAUUUGGCAUGGUGGGUUAAUUCGAAACCUUUGAGUCACGAGUUGUAUAGUUUACAGCUUCUGUAUUUUGGUCUGUAAUUGGACAUUUUGAAUCUGCAAACUAGAAGUCAAUCUAAUACUUGUUUGUUAGACUAAUUUGUAUAGGAGAUGUUUCUGUAGCUUUUGAUGCUGGCUGCCUGGCUGUAGGGGUUUACAAAAGAAAUUAUUUUGUCGCAUAUAAACUAUUAGCAAGUCUUGUUUAUGGCCUUCUAUUGCAUUCACCGUUGAUCCUUGAAUG